GCCUGGGUGGCUCAGUCCGUUAAGCGUCUGACUUCGGUUCAGGUCAUGAUCUCACAGCUCGUGGGUUCGAGCCCCGCGUCGGGCU
rnacentral:tRNA from 1 species